GAUGAACGCUGGCGGCGUGCCUAAUACAUGCAAGUCGAGCGAACAGACGAGGAGCUUGCUCCUCUGACGUUAGCGGCGGACGGGUGAGUAACACGUGGAUAACCUACCUAUAAGACUGGGAUAACUUCGGGAAACCGGAGCUAAUACCGGAUAACAUGUUGAACCGCAUGGUUCAACAGUGAAAGGCGGUCUUGCUGUCACUUAUAGAUGGAUCCGCGCCGCAUUAGCUAGUUGGUAAGGUAACGGCUUACCAAGGCAACGAUGCGUAGCCGACCUGAGAGGGUGAUCGGCCACACUGGAACUGAGACACGGUCCAGACUCCUACGGGAGGCAGCAGUAGGGAAUCUUCCGCAAUGGGCGAAAGCCUGACGGAGCAACGCCGCGUGAGUGAAGAAGGUCUUCGGAUCGUAAAACUCUGUUAUUAGGGAAGAACAAAUGUGUAAGUAACUAUGCACGUCCUGACGGUACCUAAUCAGAAAGCCACGGCUAACUACGUG
rnacentral:rRNA from 1 species